GUGCAUGUGUUCUAUGCUUUAUUUUUGUCGUUAACAGGUAAUAUCGCUUACUUCUGAGGUAUUAAACAUAUCGACUUGCUGCAGACACAGAGAUUGUGGCUUUUACGAAUCACUUGCGCGGUUACGCAUUCGAACUUGGUUACGUCACUCAGAGGCCGAGCUAGAGUUCUCUUCUCUAGUUCAGUAACGGACUCCCUGGAAUUGGUGCAGUCGUAGAUAGGAACGUUGUUUCCGUUAAGGAUCGCGUUUCUGUGAUGUCUCGUGUUCUCUGGACGGCACUUGAAAAAUCAAGGAAGGAUAUUAAUCUGUGCUGCAUCGUACCGAUAUACGAAUCGGUUCUCCAAGGUGAACAGCCU
rnacentral:ncRNA from 1 species